AUUGAACGCUGGCGGCAGGCCUAACACAUGCAAGUCGAGCGAGCGGCGGACAGGUGAGUAAUGUCUGGGAAGAUGCCUGAUGGAGGGGGAGAACUACUGGAAACGGUAGCUAAUACCGCAUACCCUCAGAUGUGCCCCGAUGGGAUUGGCUUGUAGGUGGGGUAACGGCUCACCUAGGCGACGAUCCCUAGCUGGUCUGAGAGGAUGACCAGCCACACUGGGACUGAGACACGGUCCAGACUCCUACGGGAGGCAGCAGUGGGGAAUAUUGCACAAUGGGCGCAAGCCUGAUGCAGCCAUGCCGCGUGUGUGAAGAAGGCCUUCGGGUUGUAAAGCACUUUCAGCGGGGAGGCGUUACCGGCAGAAGAAGCACCGGCUAACUCCGUGCCAGCAGCCGCGGUAAUUC
rnacentral:rRNA from 1 species